rnacentral:rRNA from 1 species
UACCAGCUCUCCGAGUAGUGUGGAUGUUUAUUGGGCCUAAAGCAUCCGUAGCUUGCUAAGCAAGUCCCCUGUUAAAUCCACCGAUUUAAUCGUUGGAUUGCGGGGGAUACUGUUUGGCUAGGGGACGGGAGAGGCCGACGGUAUUUCCGGGGUAGGGGUGAAGUCCUAUAAUCCCGGGAAGACCACCAGUGGCGAAGGCUGUCGGCUAGAACGCGCCCGACGGUGAGGGAUGAAAGCUGGGGGAGCGAACCGGAUUAGAUACCCGGGUAGUCCCAGCUGUAAACGAUGCAGGCUAGGUGUUUGGGCGGCCAAGAGCCGCUCUAGUGCCGCAGGGAAGCUGUUAAGCCUGCCGCCUGGGGAGUACGGCCGCAAGGCUGAAACUUAAAGGAAUUGGCGGGGGAGCACCACAAGGGGUGAAGCUUGCGGUUU